CUCAGCCGGUGUGUGCCUGCUGCGGGUUUGGCACUGCAUGGAAAAUGGAUUUUUUUUAACACAUCGAGGCAAAACGUGAAAAAUGGAUUUUGAAGAAGACUUUUCCCAGCGGACAGUGGUUCCCCUGAUGAAUUUGAACGUGAGCACCUGCUGUGAGCGGGAGCGGGGGCCUCAGCCUGGGGUCCCUCCUGGAGGGGCCCUUGCUGCCCAGCCCCGCAGCAGUGCGGGCAUCAGAUGAAGCAGCGGCAUUGCCCUGCGUGUGGUCAGCGGCCAAGCUAUGCUCAUUGUGAGCCCCAUGCCCGGACGGCGCUGCCCCCACCACAGCGACCGGCCCAGUACAGGGUGGAUGACAGGAACCCUUCCUCGGGACUCUUCCAGCCGGGCCCAGGCGGAGACGUCAUUAGGAGGGUCUCUCUUUUCCUCCUGGGUUCCAAAGCCAUACGGGAAAACCCAGUAGACUCCACAAUUCAUGAAAACUGACAGGAGAGGCCAGACCAAGAUCAACACAAAAUUCAAAACGAUUUCUCCACACUGGCCAUAAAUAAC
rnacentral:lncRNA from 1 species